UACGGAGGGUGCAAGCGUUUAUCCGGAUUCACUGGGUUUAAAGGGUGCGUAGGAGGGCAGGUAAGUCAGUGGUGAAAUCUCCAAGCUUAACUUGGAACUGCCGUUGAUACUAUCUGUCUUGAACAUUGUGGAGGUGAGCGGAAUAUGUCAUGUAGCGGUGAAAUGCUUAGAUAUGACAUAGAACACCAAUUGCGAAGGCAGCUCGCUACACAUAUAUUGACUCUGAGGCACGAAAGCGUGGGGAUCAAACAGG
rnacentral:rRNA from 1 species